UUUAACCUGGCCAAUUCAUGGAGUUGUUUCUCUGAGAAGAUUCUGUUUUUGUACCUUGAUUAUGUUUGUUUUUGUCUCAGGUUGAUCAAGCCUUGUUCAUGAGAGAUAUCAGAAGGAACUUACCAACAGUUUUUAAGGAUUCUGGAUUCUUGUUUUGUUCCACUGGCAGCCAGAUCUGACGUUGUCCUCACAGCUUCAAGCGAACCCUGUCCACCCUCCACCAUAACUCUCAGGACUCACCUGCUACGGCAGUGUUGCAUAGCCCGCCGCUCACCAGGAUCAGAACCUCUCUCCCUGGCGGACUUAACCCUACCCAAUUCUCUCUGCUACUUCUGUUUCCUGCACCUGAGCCUGAAAAUAAAGUUUUCUUAAACGUU